rnacentral:rRNA from 1 species
GAUGAACGCUGGCGGCGUGCCUAAUACAUGCAAGUCGAGCGAACAGAUGAGGAGCUUGCUCCUCUGACGUUAGCGGCGGACGGGUGAGUAACACGUGGAUAACCUACCUAUAAGACUGGGAUCACUUCGGGACACCGGCGCUAAUACCGGAUAAUAUAUUGAACCGCAUGGUUCAAUAGUGAAAGACGGUUUUGCUGUCACUUAUAGAUGGAUCCGCGCCGCAUUAGCUAGUUGGUAAGGUAACGGCUUACCACGGCGACGAUGCGUAGCCGACCUGAGAGAGUGAUCGGCCACACGGGAACGGAGACACGGUCCAGACUCCUACGAGAGGCAGCAGUAGGGAAUCUGCCGCAAUAGGCGAAAGCCUGACGGAGCAACGCCGCGUGAGUGAUGAAGGUCUUCGGAUCGUAAAACUCUGUUAUUAGGGAAGAACAAAUGUGUAAGGAACUAUGCACGUCUUGACGGUACCUAAUCAGAAAGCCACGGCUAACUACGUG